rnacentral:rRNA from 1 species
CCUACGGGUGGCUGCAGUGGGGAAUAUUGCACAAUGGGCGCAAGCCUGAUGCAGCCAUGCCGCGUGUGUGAAGAAGGCCUUCGGGUUGUAAAGCACUUUCAGCGGGGAGGAAGGCGUUAAGGUUAAUAACCUUGUCGAUUGACGUUACCCGCAGAAGAAGCACCGGCUAACUCCGUGCCAGCAGCCGCGGUAAUACGGAGGGUGCAAGCGUUAAUCGGAAUUACUGGGCGUAAAGCGCACGCAGGCGGUCUGUCAAGUCGGAUGUGAAAUCCCCGGGCUCAACCUGGGAACUGCAUUCGAAACUGGCAGGCUAGGGUCUUGUAGAGGGGGGUAGAAUUCCAGGUGUAGCAGUGAAAUGCGUAGAGAUCUGGAGGAAUACCGGUGGCGAAGGCGGCCCCCUGGACAAAGACUGACGCUCAGGUGCGAAAGCGUGGGGAGCAAACAGGAUUAGAUACCCGAGUAGUC